GACUGCUGGCCAGAGUGGAAGAAAGGACAAUAUAUAUUUUGCACAGCUGGAGCAAAAUUCCUGUGUGGAUGCUGGAAUGGUCAAGAGAGACAGGCACUGAUGAAAUUGAUGUAAGCCACGAUGCAAGUAAUUUGCCAGCGCAGGAAAGCUUUCUAAGACCUCUUUGUUAUGUGAGAUGUUCCCCUGUGAUUAUUUCCUGUGGUUCUUGUCUUCAGCUACAUGUCUAUAAUGGCAGCAAAAAUCAUUCGGAAAUGUGAUUGUUGGAAGUCAGUACAGGAGCAUCAACACAGCUCAACAGUGAUACCUUGGUCCAUAAAUCAGUGACAACUGAAAACGUCAUCUCAGCCAGUCAUUCAUGGAUUAUUGUCAUAGGAUACGUCUGUGUGGUCUUCCUGGAACAAACAUGUGCAGAUAUUUAUCUAAAGAAGCAAAGGCUUAACAGCAGGCUUAUUUUCAAAUAUAGUAAAUGGUAUUCAACUCCAUUGAAGUCAAUGGAACCACGCACAGAUAAAACCAACAGAAGAAAAUUAAACCUUUCAAAGAAAACCUACUGCAUUUCUUUUGAGAAGCUGAAAUGGGGCUGCGAUGGGACAUUAUAUGGUUGUGCUGUCUACAAGCCUAUCUUCUCAGUGAACACACUGGAGAAGCAGUUUGUUACUCAGAAGGUUUAGGCACUCCACCUACAGCAAAAGUUCUGGACACUUCACAGAAAAGAAAUGGUACACACUACGACCCAAGGACCUGGCUGUAAAAUUAGAUUUCUAA